rnacentral:rRNA from 1 species
UACGAAGGGGGCUAGCGUUGUUCGGAAUUACUGGGCGUAAAGCGUGCGCAGGCGGUUGUGCAAGACAGAUGUGGAAUCCCCGGGCUUAACCUGGGAAUUGCAUUUGUGACUGCACGGCUAGAGUGUGUCAGAGGGGGGUAGAAUUCCACGUGUAGCAGUGAAAUGCGUAGAUAUGUGGAGGAAUACCGAUGGCGAAGGCAGCCCCCCUGGGAUAACACUGACGCUCAUGCACGAAAGCGUGGGGAGCAAACAGG